rnacentral:rRNA from 1 species
AAAUUGAAGAGUUUGAUCAUGGCUCAGAUUGAACGCUGGCGGCAGGCCUAACACAUGCAAGUCGAGCGGUAGCACAGAGAGCUUGCUCUCGGGUGACGAGCGGCGGACGGGUGAGUAAUGUCUGGGAAACUGCCUGAUGGAGGGGGAUAACUACUGGAAACGGUAGCUAAUACCGCAUAAUGUCGCAAGACCAAAGUGGGGGACCUUCGGGCCUCAUGCCAUCAGAUGUGCCCAGAUGGGAUUAGCUUGUAGGUGGGGUAACGGCUCACCUAGGCGACGAUCCCUAGCUGGUCUGAGAGGAUGACCAGCCACACUGGAACUGAGACACGGUCCAGACUCCUACGGGAGGCAGCAGUGGGGAAUAUUGCACAAUGGGCGCAAGCCUGAUGCAGCCAUGCCGCGUGUGUGAAGAAGGCCUUCGGGUUGUAAAGCACUUUCAGCGGGGAGGAAGGCGGUGAGGUUAAUAACCUCAUCGAUUGACGUUACCCGCAGAAGAAGCACCGGCUAACUCCGUGCCAGCAGCCGCGGUAAUACGGAGGGUGCAAGCGUUAAUCGGAAUUACUGGGCGUAAAGCGCACGCAGGCGGUCUGUCAAGUCGGAUGUGAAAUCCCCGGGCUCAACCUGGGAACUGCAUUCGAAACUGGCAGGCUAGAGUCUUGUAGAGGGGGGUAGAAUUCCAGGUGUAGCGGUGAAAUGCGUAGAGAUCUGGAGGAAUACCGGUGGCGAAGGCGGCCCCCUGGACAAAGACUGACGCUCAGGUGCGAAAGCGUGGGGAGCAAACAGGAUUAGAUACCCUGGUAGUCCACGCCGUAAACGAUGUCGAUUUGGAGGUUGUGCCCUUGAGGCGUGGCUUCCGGAGCUAACGCGUUAAAUCGACCGCCUGGGGAGUACGGCCGCAAGGUUAAAACUCAAAUGAAUUGACGGGGGCCCGCACAAGCGGUGGAGCAUGUGGUUUAAUUCGAUGCAACGCGAAGAACCUUACCUGGUCUUGACAUCCACAGAACUUAGCAGAGAUGCUUUGGUGCCUUCGGGAACUGUGAGACAGGUGCUGCAUGGCUGUCGUCAGCUCGUGUUGUGAAAUGUUGGGUUAAGUCCCGCAACGAGCGCAACCCUUAUCCUUUGUUGCCAGCGGUCCGGCCGGGAACUCAAAGGAGACUGCCAGUGAUAAACUGGAGGAAGGUGGGGAUGACGUCAAGUCAUCAUGGCCCUUACGACCAGGGCUACACACGUGCUACAAUGGCAUAUACAAAGAGAAGCGACCUCGCGAGAGCAAGCGGACCUCAUAAAGUAUGUCGUAGUCCGGAUUGGAGUCUGCAACUCGACUCCAUGAAGUCGGAAUCGCUAGUAAUCGUAGAUCAGAAUGCUACGGUGAAUACGUUCCCGGGCCUUGUACACACCGCCCGUCACACCAUGGGAGUGGGUUGCAAAAGAAGUAGGUAGCUUAACCUUCGGGAGGGCGCUUACCACUUUGUGAUUCAUGACUGGGGUGAAGUCGUAACAAGGUAACCGUAGGGGAACCUGCGGUUGGAUCAGCUCCUUA